rnacentral:lncRNA from 1 species
UGCAAUGCAAAGUCCGAACCGGUCGUGAUCUUGACAAUCUGAGUAUAUCAGUUCAGUGGACAUUCGGGUGUGAAACAUGGCUGUGUGACUGGCAUUUAGGUUCGGCUACUGGUCUCAACUUCAGUUUUGUGGUAGUGUAGGCAUUGUCAGUCGCUUUCAUUCUGCAUUAUCAAAGCCAUGCGCAGUGAUGUGCCCUGUGCCGAUGUGCGUUGUUGGCGAAGAAGGCGUUUCUCCGGCCGUCGUGGUUUCAGUUCUUCUGCAUUGUUGUUUCAGGCGCUGCAAACAGGGUCUUCAUUGUUCUGACCCGGUCCAAACGGGCCUCAUUUGUUCCGCACAGACCCAAGAGUUUGGAUGGACAUAGAGCACUUUAUUUCCUUGGCUGAAGGGUGAUAUACCUCUGAGAAGUGCAGCAACGGACAAGAAAUGUUGUCAUUCAUUCAUAUCCUGGCAUGAACAUCCAAUGUGGCCAUUGUCAUCAAGUCUUACCUGUGCCAGUUCAAGUAGUUGGCCAGCAUGGUGUGUCAGCGUCAGGAAAGAAUACUGAGCACCCCGAUUUCGUUGCCUGAAUGUUUGAAUUAAAUACACUGUGUGGCAUGACAAGCUCUUCCACUUUGUAACUUCUUCCAAAUACAAGUGCUUAAACUUGCAUUGCCCACUCAAACUAGUCUUAUAAGUUAUGCAAGUAGUGGCAUGCGAUAAGGUAAUGAAAAAAAUCAAAUUGUCGAGCUUUGCUCUUCUGAGUACAAAGCAAUCGUGUAACCAGGCCACGUUCGCAUAGCCUUCUCAACUGCUAGACUGGCUUCACUUCUCGGUGGACACCUCAAUACUGCUGCAAAAAAAAUAAAAGGAACAUGUGUGCAUGUAAAAUUCACUGUCAAGACUGCCCAAGAAUGCCUAUUGCGAGAAAAGUUGCAAAGUGACCAAUAUAACAUAGUUCUACCAUUUGCAAAUUGCAAAGCACAUACUACGCGUCUAUUAGGAAAUCUCACCUGUGCAAUUGUAGACAUUGGUCAUUCUGUUUGUGGUAAUGAUUAGUUAUGCCUAUGCACAAGUCAUUGGUGGGCAUUUAAACCAACCACUCAAAACAAUUUGCAUAUUUUGAUGCCCGGUACAUUGCUAUGCGAUUCUGCGCUUUUUCCACACAAUAUUAUGAAUGUAAGAAAUGCUCUUCACACUACUUGAUGUGUAUAAGGUUUUUUUUCUGAAUGUUUCAUGUGCAGGCAUACAUGGCUUUGUGGUAGAAUAUCUGCUGACCAAGCAGAAGUCCUGUGUUUAAUCAUGCUUGAAUCGCAGAUUUUCACUUAUGCCGAUUUUUCACUCACUUUUAUAAUGCUGGGAUUUCUGCAAUAAUUGCAAUCACUAAAUUUCAGAACCAGCAAUAAAUGUAAUUGUAAGAAAUUCAUGUGCAACUCUGCUUUUAUGUGGUGUGCAGAGCGAAAUGCACGAAAGGCCAAUGACAAAGAGGACAGGACAAGUAGUGUGUGAGGAGCGAUUGUCGCUGAAAGUCUAAGUUUGCCUGGCAUGUGUACUGGCUUUGACAAUGAUCCCUUUGCUUUUGCAGAGGUGUCUGUUUCUCCUACAGGAGAUCCAGAGGUUGCAUUCUUUGGACGAGGCCUCAAGUGCCCUGCAUCAGUCCCAUCACAGAAAGCGCUCGCUUGUUUGCUCUGUUACGUUGCUGCUCAGAAAGUUGAGAUUGUGAUUGCUAUGUGUUCAUCUGCACAGUCUGAUGCCUCCCAUUGGUUAUGUUGAAAGGAGUGCAGCUGAAUAUUUGUUUUUCCAUGUGUCACUAUAGAUAUUGUGAAGAAAUUAUGGACUCCACUGCAGUGUUGAGGUUAUUGUCUCCUGCAAAAGGGAAUUUUGCUUGUCUUUAUAAAGCAUUGGUUUUAUCUGGGUAGGUCAUAAUCCAUACAUUUAUGGGAUGUGUUGAGCACUACACAUAUUCGUGAUAAGUGUAGCUCAGGGAAAGAUUUGUGUACCACAGCACUUUGCAGGGUGGCUUUGCUGUUGCUAUGCAGUGUGUUAACGAUUUUAAAAUAUGUUUACUGAAGAAAUGAGGAGUUACUUCAAAGGCAUGGCACAAGCUCAAAAACCAAGAAGAGACAAAGAGUGCCUCUUCUGGGUUUUUAAGCUUGUGCCACAUCUUUCAAAUAACUAUGCACAAACUGUCUCAACAUGGCAUAGUGUAAAGGAGUUAGUUCAUAAUGCCUCAAGCAUAGUCAUCAAUUUUCUGUUUUGGUGUCAAAAAUUACAUUGACCCGUAAACUUUAUCAACCGGCCCUUAACCUCUGAAAAAGUAGUCAUGCAUUUACAAAAUUACCCAAAAAUGUAAUUCAUGACAUAUAAAUUGUUGCCUGCAAGCCUAGUUGAUGCCAAGGUUAGUGUGGGUGUUUGAGAAUUUGUGCUGAUUUGAACAGUGAUCUCUGUGCUGUUGUAGAUGUCUAUAUAGAACCAGAAGGUUUACGUUUCGGACAUAUCCAUGAAGGCUUAGCAGGAGCUUCUCCAUAGAAUUCAUUUCACUUUGUGUCUUUUUACAGUUUAGUUCGAUUCGGUAUUGGCUUGUGUUUGUGGUGGCUCUGUGCACAUGUUUACUGGCUCCUUCCUCUGGUAGUUAUAUAUCGAAACAAGCCAGACAAGAGAUUUGUUUUUUUUACAAAUUAGCAAUUUAAAACAUAGAGGAGAAGAAGACUGUACUGCAUUUCAGUGUUUAAAUAUCAGUCAUUACAAAGGUACUGCAGAGGACAUUAUAAAGCAUGGGUUCAUUCUCUGUGUAAAGUAAUGCAUACUGCUAUAAUUACGAGUGUUCAGCAGUCCAGGUGUUCAUGCAAGCCUGCCUGUGAGAAACAAUGUCAUAGCCAAAUUACCUUAAGAAAAAAAUAUUUUUAAAAA